rnacentral:rRNA from 1 species
GACGAACGCUGGCGGCGUGCCUAAUACAUGCAAGUCGAACGCAGUGGGGCCGGGUGAGUAACACGUGGCUAACCUCCCAUCAGAGGGGAUAACCCUUGGCAACAGGUGCUAAACCGCUACUGAUGGAUGGACCCGCGGGGCAUUAGCUAGUUGGUGAGGUAACGGCUCACCAAGGCCACGAUGCCUAGCCGACCUGAGAGGGGGAGCGGCCACACUGGGAAUGAGACACGGCCCAGACUCCGACGGGAGGCAGCAGUAGGGAAUCUUCGGCAAUGGACGAAAGUCUGACCGAGCAACGCCGCGUGAGUGAAGAAGGUUUUCGGAUCGUAAAACUCUGUUGUUAGAGAAGCGGUAUCUAACCAGAAAGCCACGGCUAACUACGUGCCAGCCGCCGCGGUAAUAC